AUACCUAUAAGUACUUGAUCUAAUCGUCUAACUUUUCAUUCUCUAAAAACCUGAAUGAAAAGUUAGAUGAUUAGAUCAAACACUUAUAGGUAUCGAAUUGAGCUAAUUUCUCGCGGAGGCCCUUGAAAAAAUAUUUUAAACAUAAUUAACAGAUCGGAUUAUUUGUAUGGGACCCUUAGUGGGCCCCACAACGCAAUCUGUGCACAGACUUGCUGUGUCAGUAGCAAGACUCCUUAAUUUAAGUCUCUAAUCCAGAUUGUUAAAAUCCUAUAUAUAGACACCUCAGUCAUCAAAAUUCCAAAGAAUCCUCCAUCUGUAUUACUCAUAAGUUUAUAACCAAAAGAAAUGAAGAAGGCUUCACUCCUGUCUUUCUUUGUCGUCCUCUUGCUUAUUGCAUCUGGUGGUGAGUCGAGGGUUAUUGCAGGUGGUGAGUCAAAGGUGGGGAUGAAAAUAAACUGUAAGCCUGAACUGGACUGUGAUAUUGUCUGCCAUAAUGGCCCAGCCCACUGUGUUAAUCACUUCUGCAUUUGCGACCAUAAGCAUCAUCAAGGAGUAUCUACUGCUGAUGUCAAAUGACUGUAAUGUCCUUGUGCCUAUUGUGUUUUUACCAUCCCUUGCAAGAAUGAAUAAACAAUACUCCAUCCGUCUCAGUUUGUUUGUCAAAUUUCGACAUACGUGCCUUUUAAAAAAUUGUUUAUAUGUCACAAUUUAUAAUGUUUUACAUAAUUUCAAAAACAUCAUAUUUUAGAUUUAAUUGAGAUCUAUUAAACAAUAUCCAUAUUGCAUAUAAAAAACAUUAUAAAUUAAAACAUAUAGACAAUUUUGUAAGAAGUCCCAAAUAGUGAAAAGGAACAAACAAUUCGUGACGGAGGGAGUAUUAAACUUGAAUUGAUUAUUCUGAAUCAUGGUCAUUAGUUAGUACAUGUUGAGGUGAUGGAUCCUCCCAAGUAUUAUGCCCAUUUGUGGACCUUACUCGAGCCCAUCUCAAUAAUUAGAACUGUUCACCUUUUAGAGCCUGUCAAGAAUAUUAACCAUGCUAAAAAAAUCAUGUUUAUCCGAUGCGGUUGGUAUUAUAUUUUUAUUUAAUGGGUUCUAAUCCAGUGUUAUAAUUCUUCCCCUUCCAGAUAAAUAUAUUUUGAAAUCAUAUCAACAAAUAUUUGAUCAAUGUAAUUUUUGGCGUGAUUGAUAUUCUCGACGACUCUAGAAGCGAAUGGCUCUAGUCACCAACGAGGAGCCGACAAAGACCCACAAACCUUAGAAUCCAUUACCUAAAACUUGUUCUUUCCAAGAGGCUCAUGUCAUUGCCCCACAGUAUCAAGAUAACACCUGCUAUUGUUUUUUGUAUGGUUUGUUUUUACCACUCCAUACUAAUGAUUUUUGCUCGUAUUUCAUCCUAGAAAAAGGUGUUUGAUUUUUGCUCUUUUAUCGGAUUGUAGCAAUUAGAACAUUCAAUGUGGAGAUGCUAAUAGUGUAAAUGUUAAAGUCGUACAAAAAUUACAGUAAUUUCCAUUCUCCAUGUCAAGUGUAUAAUUAUGCAAGGACAUGGCUUGUCGUUGCAUUGGGCAGUUGGCCAGUUGUCGGCACAUGCGGGCUCACUUUCAAGAUUUGAAUCGUUCAUGUCAUAAAGCUGCACAACAACUUCAACCAUGCCAAAAAUCAUCACGUUACUUGAAUACUAAUUAAUAUCUAUUCCGUGUAAUUUAUUCUUUAUUAAACUGGGUUUCGAUCCAUUGCACCCAAAUUCAUUUUAAAAAACGUAAAUGCACUUCGAUUAGAUACUUAUUAAUCAAUAUCCGAUUAACAUAAUUUUUGACACGACUAAAGCUCUCAACAAGCUUACCAGAGGAAUAGUUCUAAUCUUGAAAGUGAACCCGGCAUGGGCCAAUUCCAAUUCCAAUUUAUUGGUGCCAAUUCCCAUCUCAAUGUCUCAAUUCGGAUAUAUUCAAAAAAAUUCAAUACUUCUGUAACUUCUCAUCCAACGUGGGAGCAAGUUUCAAACUAUAGAAUAGAUAGGCCAAUUAAUAGUUACAGAAUAGAUGGCUCAAACCAAGAAAUAGUAGUCAAAUAUUUUUUCUCCAACGCCAAGAAAUUGGGAAGGUAUAUUGAUACCUACUUUAAUAAUCUAAAGUAUCCCACUCUCUACAGACCAUCCUUCUGCAAUUAUAGACACAAAACUGAAAGUUGAAAAGGAAAAAAACAUUGAAGAAAAACUCGAGGGGGGGAAAAGCAAAGCAAAAUAUCGGCCUGCCUCCUCGCGUGUCUGCAAUUUCGUGAAAUAAUCAGAUCAAAUGAAGUCUCAUCUGCGGUUUUUCCAUUCUUCCUGCCACCCUGCAACUAUCGCAUCACGAUAUUGUAAAAGCUCUCUGAUUCAGAAAAUAGCUCAUCUAGCAAUAGCUCAUGUUGCAAGCGCAUUAUAGGAAAUAAUCCGGCGUUCUUCGUGUCACAUCCGGCUCUCCCCUCCUUGGAGCUGGCUCAAACUG